GAUCCUGGCUCAGAACGAACGCUGGCGGCAGGCUUAACACAUGCAAGUCGAGCGCCUCGCAAGAGGAGCGGCAGACGGGUGAGUAACGCGUGGGAAUGUACCCUUUGCUACGGAAUAGCUCCGGGAAACUGGAAUUAAUACCGUAUGUGCCCUUCGGGGGAAAGAUUUAUCGGCAAAGGAUCAGCCCGCGUUGGAUUAGCUAGUUGGUGGGGUAAUGGCCUACCAAGGCGACGAUCCAUAGCUGGUCUGAGAGGAUGAUCAGCCACACUGGGACUGAGACACGGCCCAGACUCCUACGGGAGGCAGCAGUGGGGAAUAUUGGACAAUGGGCGCAAGCCUGAUCCAGCCAUGCCGCGUGAGUGAUGAAGGCCCUAGGGUUGUAAAGCUCUUUCACCGGUGAAGAUAAUGACGGUAACCGGAGAAGAAGCCCCGGCUAACUUCGUG
rnacentral:rRNA from 1 species